GACGAACGCUGGCGGCGUGCUUAACACAUGCAAGUCGAACGGAAAGGCCCUGCUUUUGUGGGGUGCUCGAGUGGCGAACGGGUGAGUAACACGUGAGUAACCUGCCCUUGACUUUGGGAUAACUUCAGGAAACUGGGGCUAAUACCGGAUAGGAGCUCCUGCUGCAUGGUGGGGGUUGGAAAGUUUCGGCGGUUGGGGAUGGACUCGCGGCUUAUCAGCUUGUUGGUGGGGUAGUGGCUUACCAAGGCUUUGACGGGUAGCCGGCCUGAGAGGGUGACCGGCCACAUUGGGACUGAGGUACGGCCCAGACUCCUACGGGAGGCAGCAGUGGGGAAUAUUGCACAAUGGGCGGAAGCCUGAUGCAGCAACGCCGCGUGCGGGAUGACGGCCUUCGGGUUGUAAACCGCUUUCGCCUGUGACGAAGCGUGAGUGACGGUAAUGGAUAAAGAAGCACCGGCUAACUACGUG
rnacentral:rRNA from 1 species